CGCAGCCGCGGUAAUUCCAGCUCCAAUAGCGUAUAUUAAAGUUGUUGCAGUUAAAAAGCUCGUAGUUGAAUUUCGGGAUCAAAUUGUCGGUCGUGCCUCGGUACGAACUGGUAUUAUUGGUUCCUACCUUCUGAAGAACCGCGAUGUCAUUAAUUUGGUGUCGUGGGGAAUCGGGACUGUUACUUUGAAAAAAUUAGAGUGUUUAAAGCAGGCUCGCGCUUGAAUACAUUAGCAUGGAAUAAUGAAAUAGGACGUUUGAUCUUAUUUUGUUGGUUUCUAGGAUCGACGUAAUGAUUAAUAGGGAUAGUUGGGGGCAUUAGUAUUCAAUUGUCAGAGGUGAAAUUCUUGGAUUUAUUGAGACUAACUACUGCGAAAGCAUUUGCCAAGGAUGUUUUCAUUAAUCAAGAACGAAAGUUAGGGGAUCGAAGACGAUCAGAUACCGUCGUAGUCUUAACCAUAAACUAUGCCGACUAGGGAUCGGAUGAUGUAAUUUUUAAUGACUCAUUCGGCGCCUUACGGG
rnacentral:rRNA from 1 species